AACAUGCUACUUGUAUUCAGGGCAGACUUCAGAAAUCACAGGGGAAAAUUGUGAAUUUUGAUAGGAAGAAAAAUGAGAUCUUUAGGAAGUAGAAAUUCAAAAUAUUUUUAAAGAGAUCUCUGAAGGUAACUGGAGAAUGACCUGAGAGUUUACAGUGGAUUAAAACUCAGAAGCUGUCUGGAGGAUGAGAGCAGUGCUUCCUAAAGUAAGUAGCCCCUCACGACUAUUUUAAAUUAACCUUACAAAGCACAGAGAAAAGCAUCCAAUUCAGGAAACUAAAGCAAAGAUAAUGGAGUCCUUGAAGUAUUCAUUUUGUCUUUAAGGAAAAAUUAUAUUACAAGGUAGGUAGCAUUUGCAGUAAAAUACUACACUGAACUGUUUUAAAGUCACCCUAUAUGGUGCCUUUAGCACCCAGUAGCAUUAUUAUUUUGUGGUCUGUAGCUCUGAGUGGCCACUGGUACAUGCAAAAUCUCUACCCACAGAAGCAAGCACUGCUUGCACUUUUCUGAAAGGGCACAUCUCCCAUUCUUAAAUAGAAAAAAUAUUUUUGGACAAUACUGUGAGCUGUUAUAUUGUUGAAACAUUACAUGUUUUACCUCACAACAGACAUUAAGUUUUGAGCAGCAAUGUUAUUACUUGCAGCUAGCUAAUAAGUGGGCAACAGCUGAGAGGAGAGGAUAUCUCUUGGAAAAGUUUGCCAUCUGAGAAGCAGACUUCUGUGAACAUUUUAAUUGCAGCUUCUGAAAAGUAAAGCAUAUGAAAUACCAGCUGCCCUUGUAAGAGAUCAGAAGUCCUUGACCUAAAGAUGUGAUUUAUGAUAAGAAAACUUGAAGCCAGCUGGAUUUUACAAAGCCCAUUUUGCCAUUCGUUAGCUGACCUCUCUCUAGAAGAACACAGCAACAGCUCACAUCAUUGUUCCUGCAUAUAACAGAAGCAAGCAAUAGAACUCCCAUCAGCUUAAUCCCAUUUACAGUGAAUCUAGAAAAGGGACUUUUUCAGCUGUCUAACUAAGCAAAUGAGAAGCUGAAUGACAUGUAACAUUGUUUACUGUAGAAAAUAAUAUUAUGUAAUCAUCAGUCAUGCAGUUUGCAAAGACAAAUAAUUGGUCUGCUGCAAUUAAUAUCCUACUGCUUUGAGGCCUAGCCUAUAAUUCUGCCAGGGGAAGAUGAACAAAUUAAGCUAUUCAGUUGACACGUGGAGUUUAGCCAGGUCAUCUCCCCAGAAUUUCUCUGUUACUCAGUGGAGAGACAAAUGCUCUUCCUAGCAGCCACAGAGUACCAAAAUCUAUUGCCUCCACUGAAUCACCUCUGGGAGAAGCCCAUUUGAAGUCUAGUUGCUCAAAAUUAGAUGAUUUUAGUAUUUCCUUAUAUUCAAUUACACUUAAAUUUAGACAGCAUCUCAGUGAAUACUCCCUGAUAUGUUUGUCAUCAGUUUCAGAUUAACUCCUUUCCAGAAGAGUAGAAUCAAUGAGCUAGGGGCUGAUGCUGCAAUCCUGGCAGUCAAUUCUGUGUUCACAAAAGAAAGGAGAAUGGGGAUGUUUCAUGGUGGCAGUCCAAGCAAGGAAGUCUUUACUUCUGCAGUCCCCAGCUUCCACAAUGAUGCUCACCAGGGAAACGCAACAGGAAGUGCUGAAAUUGUGUGUUCCUAAACUACAAGAUACUUAUUGGA